ACCAGACUCCUACGGGAGGCGGCAGUGGGGGAUAUUGCACAAUGGGGGGAACCCUGAUGCAGCGACGCCGCGUGGGUGAAGAAGCGCCUCGGCGCGUAAAGCCCUGUCAGCAGGGAAGAAAAUGACAGUACCUGAAGAAGAAGCCCCGGCUAACUCCGUGCCAGCAGCCGCGGUAAUACGGGGGGUGCAGGCGUUGUCCGGAUUUACUGGGUGUAAAGGGCGUGUAGCCGGGCUGACAAGUCAGAUGUGAAAUCCGGGGGCUCAACCCCCGAACUGCAUUUGAAACUGUUGGUCUUGAGUAUCGGAGAGGCAGGCGGAAUUCCUAGUGUAGCGGUGAAAUGCGUAGAUAUUAGGAGGAACACCAGUGGCGAAGGCGGCCUGCUGGACGACAACUGACGGUGAGGCGCGAAAGCGUGGGGAGCAAACAGGAUUAGAUACCCGCGUACA
rnacentral:rRNA from 1 species